GUCCAAUCAGAAAGCACGUUUAGUUGUUUUGCGUGCGCUGACAGCGGAACUGAACAACCCAGAGAGAGGCUAACUGCUACAAACCAACACAACAAGAUGGAGGUGGAACAGCUUCUGUCUCUAUCAGGCUCAGCUCUAGCCCAGGCUGUCAGCUCUCUGCUGGAGACCCCGGGCCUCUACGUUUUCUCUGAUAUCCUGGAGCUGCCUAAUGUCAGAGAGCUGGAGAAUGGCCCUCAUGCACCCGUGUACCAGCUCCUGAACCUUUUUGCCUAUGGAACCUACUGCGACUACAAAGAGAGAGCAGCCUCACUUCCAGAGUUGACCCCGGCACAAAGAAACAAACUCCGUCAUCUUUCGAUUAUUAGCUUGGCUUCCAACCUCAAGUGCCUUCCUUAUUCGCUGCUUCUUCAGCAGCUCGAGCUAAAGAAUGUGCGAGAACUGGAGGACCUGUUGAUCGAGGCUGUUUACUGUGACAUCAUCCAGGGCAAACUGGACCAGAGGAACCAGCAGGUGGAGGUGGACUGCAGCGUAGGUCGUGACCUCGGCCCCAACGAGCUUCCAAACAUAAUCAACACGCUUCAGGAGUGGUGUACGGGGUGCGAGGCAGUCCUGUGUGGGAUCGAGGAGCAGGUUUCCAGGGCAAACCAGUACAGAGAGAACCAACUAAAGGUCAAAGUCCAAGUGGAAACUGAGGUCUCAAACUUACAAAAAACAUUAAAGGCCAGUGCUGCGUCUCCAUCAUCGGGCCCCGCCCCUGCCGGAGCCGCAUCCAAUCAGGACGCGGAUCAGCCCGCUGAACCACGAGACCCCGCCUCCUCUCAGGAACCACGACAACCAGGCAAAAAAGCUUCAAAGGUGAAAGGAAAUGGCCGAAUGGUGUGGAGUGGACAAUGGCUGUGUCUCAGUUCAGGAGCUGCGUCUGCAUUUGUUGGUGACUUGUGUCACUGCCCCUUCUGAAGGCUGUCCCAAUUCGUAGGCUCCUUCUCAUGCAGCCAACGAAUGCAGCCCACAAAACCCCGAAAAUGAAGGCUGCAUCUAAGUAUCCUAUCCAGCCAAGGAUAUCCCAGGAUUCAUUGCGCCGUCAGCAAACUAAACAAAGACAAAGGCUGCGAGGCAGUGGGAAGAUCUGGUCCAAGUCCAACUGAGGACAAAAGGUUUAAAGACGCAAGGACGGCGGCACUUGUGGACGCUGGCUAAUUUACGGACACAUUGGCAUGUUGACGGACAGACAGUUUAAAACAACGUGACCACUCUUACGGACCACCCUCCUCACUUACACUUCUGCAGUAACAACCACAAAGCUUCACUGGGACUUCAAUCACCUGAUCUUAACCUUUUAUGGAUUCAGAAACACACACACACAUACACACCUGGCUGAUGGAGAAAAUACGUGACUUUUUCCUCUUGCAGCUGUGAAAAGCCAGACGGGCAGAACUGUGGAUGUAAAUACACGGAGCACUUGUUAAGCUUGAGGACACAAUAGUCUGCAGCAGGAGUCAGUUGCCUUUGACCAGAAACAAAAUUAGUAUAAUCAAGGCAUUGGUUUGUGUGUAUCUCUGUUCUUUUGGUUUAGCUGAAUUCUGUGUUGCUUUGUUGUUUACUUUUUGUUUUGUUUUACUCUCUCUCUCUAAAGUGGAGCCUUGUAUAAAAUGAGAAUAUAAAUUGUUGGAAAAAUAAAAACAAAACAACAAAAAGAA